GAAAUGCGAUAAGUAAUGCGAAUUGCAGAAUUUCCGUGAGUCAUCGAAUCUUUGAACGCACAUUGCGCCCACUGGUAUUCCGGUGGGCAUGCCUGUUCGAGCGUCAUUAUCCUCCCUCAAACCCCGGGUUUGGUGUUGGGCCGCGUCGGUCUUGGGUGAUCGACGGGCCUCAAAGGCAAUGACGGCGUCCGUGGGACCCUCGGUGCAACGAGCUUCUUCCAAAAAGCACGCGUCGAGUCUAAAGGACCUUCCGGGCCGGUCUCCCAAAUUUACUUUACUACAAGGUUGACCUCGGAUCAGGUAGGAAUACCCGCUGAACUUAA
rnacentral:misc_RNA from 1 species